AGUCACUGACAUUAGAUACCCCCGUAGUCCAGGGUGUAAACGCUGCAGACUUGGUGUUGGGAACCCUUCGGGGGUGCUCAGUGCCGGAGAGAAGUUGUUAAGUCUGCUACUUGGGAGUACGUCCGCAAGGAUGAAACUUAAAGGAAUUGGCGGGGAGCACCGCAACGGGAGGAGCGUGCGGUUUAAUUGGAUUCAACGCCGAAAACUCACCAGCAGCGACUGUUACAUGAAAGUCAGGUUGAUGACCUUACUAGAUUUUCAG
rnacentral:rRNA from 1 species